rnacentral:rRNA from 1 species
UAAACGCGUGGAUAACCUGCCUUGCACUGGGGGAUAACACUUAGAAAUAGGUGCUAAUACCGCAUAAGCGCACAGAGCCGCAUGGCUCAGUGUAGAAAAACUCCGGUGGUGUAAGAUGGAUCCGCGUCUGAUUAGCUGGUUGGCGGGGGUAGAAGCCCACCAAGGCGACGAUCAGUAGCCGGCCUGAGAGGGUGAACGGCCACAUUGGGGACUGAGACACGGCCCAAACUCCUACGGGAGGCAGCAG